rnacentral:rRNA from 2 species
UAAAACCAGCACCUCAAGUGGUCAGGAUGAUUAUUGGGCCUAAAGCAUCCGUAGCCGGCUCUGUAAGUUUACGGUUAAAUCUGUACGCUUAACGUACAGGCUGCUGGGAAUACUGCAGGGCUAGGGAGUGGGAGAGGUAGACGGUACUCAGGAGGAAGUGGUAAAAUGCUUUGAUCUCCUGAUGACCACCUGUGGCGAAGGCGGUCUACCAGAACACGUCCGACGGUGAGGGAUGAAAGCUGGGGGAGCAAACCGGAUUAGAUACCCGGGUAGUCCCAGCCGUAAACUAUGCAAACUCAGUGAUGCGUUGGCUUAUGGCCAGUGCAGUGUUGCAGGGAAGCCGUUAAGUUUGCCGCCUGGGAAGUACGUACGCAAGUAUG